CUCAGUUUCCCGACAGCGGACUGCAGGUGGGCCCGAGCUGGGGGCCGCUCAACCCUGGAGGCCUGGCGAGGUGUCUCACUGGGUGGUGGGCUCGGCGGACUGGAGUGUGGAGAUGGUCAAGCUCCGCUCCCCCACAAGCAGGGUGUCCCAAAACCUGGCCCCUGACCUCCUUCCAGCUGAGGACAGGCAGAUGAACCUGUCUGGGUGACACAAAGCAAGAUUUUGGGGAGGGACUGUGAAGUCUGAGAAGAAGCCCUGGACAGAGGGCAGCUUCAUACAGCUGCCCAAGGCUGGGCCUUGGCUUUCCGUAAAGGGGGCUUUGGGCUUCAACUCUGCCCUCUCCUGGGAUCCUAAACGAGCCCCUCAUUAGUAAAAUGGGCUCUGUGCCUUUGCCAAGUGUUCCGAGUAUGUCUCACCCUCAUUCUUUGCCUGUAGCACCAAUGUCAUAGUGUUGGCAUGUGGCGGCUGCCUGACCAAUAGUAAUUAGAAUUAGUCAUGAUUCUUCUAUGGAGGAUCCAUGAGUUCUCCCUACACAUAACUCACAUCCUCAGGAAGUACUGAGUGGAUGGGGGCAGUCCUGGAAAUGUGAAGAGGGGUACUGGGUUCACGGCCCCUCCCACUGGUCCCACUGAGGGCCUUGUCCCCCAGGAAAGCCUGCUUCUCUAGCUCUGAGGCAUCCCAGAGUGGUGGUCAUCCGGGGUUUCCACCUGCCUGUUUUCUGGCCACAGCCCCUUGAUUUUCCCUUGGGGCCUCCCCACUCUUAGUCUGUAAGGUUUGAAUUGGACUGAUCCUCAAGCCCUAGCGGCAUGGCUGGGUCAUCCAAUCAGAGCACUCCAGGCCCCUUGGCUGCAAUCGUUGGUUCAGGAGCAGCCUCUGACUCAGCCAUCCAAUGAGAUGCAGCCCUGGGACUUUGUCUGGAACACAGUGCUGGGGUGAGGAGGCUGGAAGGACCUGGAUCUGGAGUUAAUGGGACCAUCACAGCACCCAGGGAAGGAGGAAUUGUGUACCAAGUAAGCACUCGGGGAUAAGAAAGUGCUGAUAACCCUGUUUGUGCUCCUGGAUCCAGCCAUGCCUGCCCUCCCCCAAUGUUCCAGUGAUGCAAGCCAGUAAACUACUUCUUAUUAAGCCAGUUUGAGUUGGGCCUUCCAUCAUGUACCACAGAAGAGCCCUGCAUUCAUCUGCCAUGACCUUAGAAAUGGUUCUUAAAUGCUAAACCAAGUCUCAAUUUCUUUUUCUGUGAAUUAGGAAUUGUGGCCACCCCAUGGGAGAGGGACAUGGGGUUGGAGGACAAAGGCUGCUUCAGGGCCAGCUCUGCCUCAUCCCGGUGGCUGUGCCAUCUGGAGCCAGUUAGUGCAGCAGCACCCCACAGCCUGGUAAUGUUCCAGCUCACGUGCAUGUGCAGAUGAGAUCAAGAAUCUUGAGAUGGGGACGCGACACAGGUGUCCCCGUGGGGUAGAGAAGGCCAUGGGACCGUAGAGGCAGAGGCCAGAGGGAUGCACUCUGAAGGUGGAGGAACAGGACUGAGCCCAGGAAUGUGGGUGGCCUCCAGAAGCUGGACAAGGCAACAAGACGGAUUUUCUGGAGGGAACCAGCCCUGCCCACACCUGGAUUGCAGGACUUCUGACGUCCAGAACUGCCUUGAGGUGACCCCAUGGCCCCAGAAUCCAGGCCCAGGCCCUCGCCACCCAGCCACCCCAUGUGCCAGGGCUGCACCUCCUCAGCCAACCAGGAGUCACAAGCUGUUCCUCAAACAUCACUGAGGCCAGGGAACCUGGAGCACCCCAAUUGGCUGGUGGAGUCGCCCAUGGGUGAGGAUGUGGGCUGGACUGGGCAAGAGGGAGCAGGUGGGUGAAGUUAUCAUGCAUACCCAACAGGAUGCAGAGAAGGGCAGGCUGAGGGGUGGGAGAAGUACCCAGGUCUACCCCUGACCUGGGCAGGCUUGGGGCUUCCAGAAACUGCAAACUCCAGAGGAGCCCCUGGGCUGGGGAGGCCAACCAGAGGCUCUGUCCUGGACAUGGCAGGUCUGGGAUGUCCUUACAAUGGCCCCCCGGGGACACUCAGCAGGCAGCUGUCUCUCAAGGGCUGGAGCCGAGCAGGGCUGGGGCUGGAGAUGUGUACUGGAGAAUCCUUGGUGACCAAGCAGUAAUUGAAGCCAUGGCUGGUGAGAAGCCAAGUGAGGCGGAUGUGAGGGGAGGAAGGCCCUGCCAGCCGGUAGCACACCUUCUCCAGGGAAGAUGGGCAAAGAGGAGGGGCAUUCUGGGGGCUGCAGAGGGACCACCAUGCGGCAGGGCCAUGUAGAAGGCAGAGGCGGGGAGGUUCCCAGCGUUCUGGGGCCACACUGCUGUAACUUUGUGUAAGGAGAACAUGUCAGCUUCCCAGGGUUUGUGCUGGCCAGCAGCGGUCACGCCAGGAUGAUGACAAAACAGCACUUUUGACCCAAGACCAGGCCUGACAGCAACUCAGGAGGCAGUGAGGGAAGCUGGGCAGGGAGGUGGUCCUGGCUGGAGGUGGCUUCAACCUGAUGUGGGGGUGGGUGCCUGGAGUGCCAGCUGCCACCGGGGUGAACUCCAGCUGAUGUAAGGCGGACAGCUUUUGUACCCCCGGUCACUGCUCAUUGGCAACUCCUGACCCAGGAGCGAUGGAGCCCCUUGUGCCAUGCGGCUCUUUUUCCAUAGAAGGGCAGCUGGAAGGGGACAGGGCGGGAACUCUAGGGAACCAGAGAGCUGACCAGAGGUGGCCUGGGUCCACACGUUCACUAGGAACCACCAUGCCCUGUGUCCCAUCCUGGCCUCCAGGGGCCCAGUGGCAGCUAGAUCACGAACACUUGUGGUGGACUGCUCAGGUGAGGGCAUGUUGUGGCUGCCACUGAGUGAUCCACUCUGGCUUCAUCUUACCUAUUGCUGUAUGACAAAUUACUCCAAAACUUCAAGUAUAAAACACUAAUAAUUUAGGUCAUGAAUCUGCCAGUUGGCUGGGUGUCCUCAUGGCAUGGCCAUUGGUGUCCUCUGUGUGUGUGUGUGUGGGGGGUCACCUUUUGUGACAUAGCCAUGGAAAUCAUGCAGUGUCACAAAAGCCACCCAAGUUCAAGGAGAGGGGAUGCAGAUUCCACCAAUGAUCUGCCUCUUGAGGGGCUGUGGGGAGGUUCUGGAAGAGCAUGUGGGGACGGACAUGGCCAUGGUUGUGUUUGGCAAGUGGGCACUUGAGCAUGAUUCAGUGGUUCUUUGGUUUGCUAACUGCCUGCCCUGUGCCCAGAGUAGGUGCUGGGAGGGGGGAACUGGCGAAAGGGUUAAACAACUUUCCCAUAGGAUCUUCCUCCAUCAGAACAAGGAACAGGGCUGAGCGGGGAGUGAAGUCACUUGCCGGCACAUCAGAAUCUGAUCCGGGAUUGGCUCCUCCGCUCCCUACAGAAUUUGCCUCCACGUAGUUCCCUUGGAGGUGGAGGGGCACCCAGGGGGUGCUCAUGACUAGUGGGGACUAAUCCCACAGGCACGUGUAUCCUCCAGGGGGUGCAGUGCAGGGUGUGGGGCCUGGGUUCAUGCCCCUGCUCAGCCCCUCGCUGGUGGGACCUUUCACUUCUCUGGGCCUCCGUUUCCCCAUUUGCCAUCUGGGUAGGAAUUCACCUUCCUCCUGGGCAGUGGUGGGUCAAGGACACUACAGAUCCUGACCUGUUACCUAUUUCCACCACCACUGUCACCAUUAUCGGCCCAGCUGACCUCUUCCUCUGACAGCUGGGGAAACGAGGCCCAGGAAGGAACUUUGGGCUGGGCAUGCAUGGAGAGCGCAGCUGGAGGCAGUGCCCACCUGCAGCCGUCAGGCAGAGCCUCGUGCGUCUGGGGGCCAAGUCCAGGGCAC